AGUGUAUGCUGGUGGAACAAUACCAAGUUAUCUCUCAAACUUCCAAAGCUGGCUGGAGCUGGAUGUGAGGUUUUUACAAGGUAACCACCAAAAGCAGUAAAGUGAAAGCUACAGAACUGGCAGACAUCGGUAUCUAAUAGCUGGUGUCCUUCCUCCUUUCCUGCUGUUACAUAUGCUCUGUGAAAUGGUGUCAAUGAACAGAAGACAACCAAGCCUGCUUUUUCUUUUCCCAACUCAUCAUACAGUGUACCUUGUCUCACCUCCCAGCAAACUGGAUCAUAAAUUAUUUAAGGUUUCCUCAUCUUCAGAAUGCUGAGAUGAACGCACUGAAAUAUUCAGAGACUGGAACCUAAAAGAUUAUAGUGAUGAUUCAAUAAUUCUUGCUAACAACAGAAAUAAAAAUCUUGCCUUUUUCCUAGUAUUUUAAAUAUGGAGAAUUCAUUUUUCUCUUUCAAUUUUUCACACUAUAUCAACAAACUGUUCAAGACACAUCAGUGUUAAAUGAAAGGGCGUAAACGUACAGCUGAAAUGCAAAUGUAUGUCAUCAGUCCGUUUAUAUCUUCCUUGGAAAAUGCUUCACCCUCUCUUUAUUUUUUACUCUGUUCUCUGCAAUUGGAAAAACAACAUUGCUUUAUGUGUGCACUGGCAAUUAAGUCUGGCAUUUUUUAAUUUUUUUUUUCCUUAUUACUAGUUCUUUUCUUGGUGCUCACAGGAGAACUUUGCAAAGCUGAAUACACAAAGUUCCUUUUCAACACUAGUAUUGAUUUUCUUUUGUCUUUUAACAGACAGCAACCUGUACCCAACAUGAAAAAAAAAAUAACAAGCAGAUAGCACUCAAGCAGCAAAAUCAACAUUCUUAUUCUUCAGUUAAUGACUAAUGUGAGCAAGAUGAGGUCCAGCAGCACUCCAACAGAACAGAAGAGAGUCCUUUAUUCCCAAAGCAUCAAUGAUAUGGUCAAUAGUUAAAUCCAAUAAGUGAUAUUUUUUCCCUCUUCUUGAACCUAAAAAUUAAGAAAUGAGAGCUCUACAGCUCUUUUUCUUACCUGUAUAUGAAUUACUUGACUGACAUUGCCUUUCAAAAAGAGCUGCAAAUAUGUUAAGCCAGGAGGGUAAAGAAAAUGAAUCCUACUCAUUAAUUAGCAUUACUACAUAGUCCAAGUAUGCACAAUGUGGAUUUGAAGAUGGAUCUCCACCUUUUACGUAUAACCUGGCAGGCGUACAAGUGACAAUGUAUCGUAGCAUUUUGUGUAAACCCUUGUGAAAGUUCUGUCCUUGGUGAGAUACAGAUCUAGGAGAACCAACAUACAGAUGGACAGGUGAUCAAGAAAAAAACAAACAGGAAAUAGCAGGCUGAAGAGAAGAUACACACAUGCAAAGAAAUAGUGCUUAAAUUCUUCUAAGGUCUGAUAAGAGGAGACUGAUGGUCCAGCUGAACCUGCAAAAAGUGAUAGAACUCCAAAUUGUACUGAAUUUUUUCAAAGCAACUGGUACAUAGUAGCAUCAACAAUAGGUUGUAUCACAUGGAUCAUAGCCAGGAGGGUAGAGGCUGCAGUAUUCUGACAGACCCUGGUGUAAUACAUGCACCCUAAUGGGUCUCCCAGACCUACCUCUAGGCCACUCUUUCAGUUGGCCUCCAGCUGUUACUCCAUCCACAUAACUGUGAGUAACCCUAUGAGAGCAUGUGUGUGUCUGAACUGUAAAUGGAUGUAUGGUGUGAAUUAUUAAUUAUUAUAAAGCUGUGGCUAAUAAUGAAAGCUUGAGUCUAUUCAUAAUAUAAAUAUAUGUGAACCU
rnacentral:lncRNA from 7 species